rnacentral:rRNA from 1 species
CUUUAUGCUUUAGUGGCGAACGGGUGCGUAAUACGUGAGAAUCUGCCCUUAGGAGGAGAAUAACUUCUGGAAACGGUUGCUAAGUCUCCAUAUGCCGAGAGGUAAAAUAGUUUACACUGCCUAGGGAUGAGCUCACGCCUGAUUAGCUUGUUGGUAAGGUAAUGGCUUACCAAGGCCACGAUCAGUAGCUGGUUUGAGAGAACGAUCAGCCACACUGGGACUGAGACACGGCCCAGACUCCUCCGGGAGGCAGCAGUGAGGAAUUUUCCGCAAUGGGCGAAAGCCUGACGGAGCAAUACCGCGUGAGGGAUGAAGGAUUUUGGUCUGUAAACCUCUUUUCUCAAGAAAGAAGUUCUGACGGUACUUGAGGAAUAAGCAUCGGCUAACUCCGUGCCAGCAGCCGCGGUAAUACGGGGGAUGCAAGCGUUAUCCGGAUUUAUUGGGCGUAAAGCGCCUGUAGGUUGUUUAAUAAGUCUGUUGUUAAAGACUAGGGCUUAACCCUAGGAAAGCAAUGGAAACUACUAGACUUGAGUAUGAUAGGGGUA